rnacentral:rRNA from 1 species
GGUUAAGCGACUAAGCGUACACGGUGGAUGCCCUGGCAGUCAGAGGCGAUGAAGGGCGUGCUAAUCUGCGAUAAGCGCCGGUAAGGUGAUAUGAACCGUUAUAACCGGCGAUACCCGAAUGGGGAAACCCAGUGUGAUUCGUCACACUAUCAUUAACUGAAUCCAUAGGUUAAUGAGGCGAACCGGGGGAACUGAAACAUCUAAGUACCCCGAGGAAAAGAAAUCAACCGAGAUUCCCCCAGUAGCGGCGAGCGAACGGGGAGGAGCCCAGAGCCUGAAUCAGCAUGUGUGUUAGUGGAAGCGUCUGGAAAGGUGCGCGAUACAGGGUGACAGCCCCGUACACAAAAGCGCAUGUGCUGUGAGCUCGAUGAGUAGGGCGGGACACGUGGUAUCCUGUCUGAAUAUGGGGGACCAUCCUCCAAGGCUAAAUACUCCUGACUGACCGAUAGUGAACCAGUACCGUGAGGGAAAGGCGAAAAGAACCCCGGCGAGGGGAGUGAAAAAGAACCUGAAACCGUGUACGUACAAGCAGUGGGAGCACAGGUUUACCUGUGUGACUGCGUACCUUUUGUAUAAUGGGUCAGCGACUUAUAUUCUGUAGCAAGGUUAACCGUAUAGGGGAGCCGUAGGGAAACCGAGUCUUAACCGGGCGUUAAGUUGCAGGGUAUAGACCCGAAACCCGGUGAUCUAGCCAUGGGCAGGUUGAAGGUUGGGUAACACUAACUGGAGGACCGAACCGACUAAUGUUGAAAAAUUAGCGGAUGACCUGUGGCUGGGGGUGAAAGGCCAAUCAAACCGGGAGAUAGCUGGUUCUCCCCGAAAGCUAUUUAGGUAGCGCCUCGUGAAUUCAUCUCCGGGGGUAGAGCACUGUUUCGGCUAGGGGGCCAUCCCGGCUUACCAACCCGAUGCAAACUGCGAAUACCGGAGAAUGUUAUCACGGGAGACACACGGCGGGUGCUAACGUCCGUCGUGAAGAGGGAAACAACCCAGACCGCCAGCUAAGGUCCCAAAGUCAUGGUUAAGUGGGAAACGAUGUGGGAAGGCCCAGACAGCCAGGAUGUUGGCUUAGAAGCAGCCAUCAUUUAAAGAAAGCGUAAUAGCUCACUGGUCGAGUCGGCCUGCGCGGAAGAUGUAACGGGGCUAAACCAUGCACCGAAGCUGCGGCAGCGAACGUAUCACCCAAGACAACUUUACGGAGUUGACGAUUGACGGAGCGAAGCGACGUCAAAGCGUUCAUUAAAGUCGAGUUGGCUUAGGGAUACGUUCGUUGGGUAGGGGAGCGUUCUGUAAGCCUGUGAAGGUGUGUCGUGAGGCAUGCUGGAGGUAUCAGAAGUGCGAAUGCUGACAUAAGUAACGAUAAAGCGGGUGAAAAGCCCGCUCGCCGGAAGACCAAGGGUUCCUGUCCAACGUUAAUCGGGGCAGGGUGAGUCGACCCCUAAGGCGAGGCCGAAAGGCGUAGUCGAUGGGAAACGGGUUAAUAUUCCCGUACUUGGUGUUACUGCGAAGGGGGGACGGAGAAGGCUAUGUUGGCCGGGCGACGGUUGUCCCGGUUUAAGCGUGUAGGUGUGUGUUCCAGGUAAAUCCGGUUCACUUUAACACUGAGGCGUGACGACGAGGCACUACGGUGCUGAAGCAACAAAUGCCCUGCUUCCAGGAAAAGCCUCUAAGCAUCAGGUAACACGAAAUCGUACCCCAAACCGACACAGGUGGUCAGGUAGAGAAUACCAAGGCGCUUGAGAGAACUCGGGUGAAGGAACUAGGCAAAAUGGUGCCGUAACUUCGGGAGAAGGCACGCUGACACGUAGGUGAAGUGAUUUACUCAUGGAGCUGAAGUCAGUCGAAGAUACCAGCUGGCUGCAACUGUUUAUUAAAAACACAGCACUGUGCAAACACGAAAGUGGACGUAUACGGUGUGACGCCUGCCCGGUGCCGGAAGGUUAAUUGAUGGGGUCAGCGCAAGCGAAGCUCCUGAUCGAAGCCCCGGUAAACGGCGGCCGUAACUAUAACGGUCCUAAGGUAGCGAAAUUCCUUGUCGGGUAAGUUCCGACCUGCACGAAUGGCGUAAUGAUGGCCAGGCUGUCUCCACCCGAGACUCAGUGAAAUUGAACUCGCUGUGAAGAUGCAGUGUACCCGCGGCAAGACGGAAAGACCCCGUGAACCUUUACUAUAGCUUGACACUGAACAUUGAGCCUUGAUGUGUAGGAUAGGUGGGAGGCUUUGAAGUGUGGACGCCAGUCUGCAUGGAGCCGACCUUGAAAUACCACCCUUUAAUGUUUGAUGUUCUAACGUGGACCCGUAAUCCGGGUUGCGGACAGUGUCUGGUGGGUAGUUUGACUGGGGCGGUCUCCUCCUAAAGAGUAACGGAGGAGCACGAAGGUUGGCUAAUCCUGGUCGGACAUCAGGAGGUUAGUGCAAUGGCAUAAGCCAGCUUGACUGCGAGCGUGACGGCGCGAGCAGGUGCGAAAGCAGGUCAUAGUGAUCCGGUGGUUCUGAAUGGAAGGGCCAUCGCUCAACGGAUAAAAGGUACUCCGGGGAUAACAGGCUGAUACCGCCCAAGAGUUCAUAUCGACGGCGGUGUUUGGCACCUCGAUGUCGGCUCAUCACAUCCUGGGGCUGAAGUAGGUCCCAAGGGUAUGGCUGUUCGCCAUUUAAAGUGGUACGCGAGCUGGGUUUAGAACGUCGUGAGACAGUUCGGUCCCUAUCUGCCGUGGGCGCUGGAGAACUGAGGGGGGCUGCUCCUAGUACGAGAGGACCGGAGUGGACGCAUCACUGGUGUUCGGGUUGUCAUGCCAAUGGCACUGCCCGGUAGCUAAAUGCGGAAGAGAUAAGUGCUGAAAGCAUCUAAGCACGAAACUUGCCCCGAGAUGAGUUCUCCCUGAGACUUAGAGUCUCCUGAAGGAACGUUGAAGACGACGACGUUGAUAGGCCGGGUGUGUAAGCGCAGCGAUGCGUUGAGCUAACCGGUACUAAUGAACCGUGAGGCUUAACCUU